rnacentral:rRNA from 1 species
GACCCGAAAGAUGGUGAACUAUGCCUGGCCAGGAUGAAGCCAGAGGAAACUCUGGUGGAGGUCCGUAGCAAUUCUGACGUGCAAAUCGAUUGUCAGAGCUG